UCCAUCAGCAUAAUGGGGGAAUCAUUGCAGUGUGGCCAGAGAGGAGCAGACGAGAUUAUAGAUGAAAGUAGAGAAAAACGGUGGGCAGGGGCAGGGAGAGGAAAGGCCAGACAAAUGCAAUCAUUUCUCCAAAGGAUUUGAGAAGAGAUCAUUUAUUUGAAAUAUUCCUGCCAUGUUGAUGGAGCAGCUCAAUCUUUUGCCAGUGAAUCUUUAGCGUUUUGUUUUUCAUUUGUAGAUAUGGUUGAACAUAUACUUAGGACACGUAAUAACUAUGGAACUUCAUCACAAACACAGCACUGAGGACAUGUUUUGGAAAAUCCCCACUGAAUGAAUUUUUUUGAAAAAGUAAAUGUAUCCUGGGAACAUGCCGUUCAGGAUUUUGGAAAAGGAACUUCAAACGAAAUUGAAGGAGACAUGCAUACAAGGAGAAUGCCAGGUGAACGUGAAGACCAUCAUUUGCAAGCCAAGAGAGGCCUGGAGCAGAUCCUUCAGAGCCCUCAGAAGGGACCAACCCUGCUGGCACCUUGAUUUUGGACUUCCAGCCUCCAGAACUAAGAACUUGAUGUAUACCUCCUGACCUGUUCAUCUUGUAGCUGCCUCUUGACAGAUAUAAGAGGCCGCCCUGUAGAGGAGGAAGGAGGAAGUUGGCUGUGAUUGACCUUGCUAGGUCAUCUUCCUAAUCUUUGUCCUUUCCUGCACCCCAAAUGGAAGAUAAAAGGCAAUGCAAGAUCAGCAUCCUCAGAGACAUCGUUUUGUUUGGGUUUCAUGGAUUGCAAUUGCCAGAGAUGCUUAGGCUGCCUCUAGAGGGAAGAUGAUUGAUUGUUAACCUAUGUGGUCCAACCAAAUGUCUUAGGGGUUAUUGAUAAUUAAAAUGGACAAUAGCGAUUUUCCAUUUCUUCUGGCCUUGGGUGCUGGCAUGUGGAAGUGGUAUUGAUACUCAUGACCAAAUAGGCACUUAUCGAUUUCAGUUUUCAUAAGUUGCCUACCAAAUGCAAACUAGUAACCCAGACGUGGGAGACCUAAUAUUCCAUUGUUAAUCUUUAGGUCCAUAAUUUUUAUUUCCUCUACUUGCCUCUUCUUCCUUCCUCUGCAUAAUGAGUUGGGCUUAUAUAAUUGCACCCAUUUACUCACUCAUUCGUUCAAUCAAUUAUUUGUUCCUAUUUUAUGCCAAGUAAUGAACAGAAGGUGUUGGGGAUGCAAAACCCAACUAAUUGGAAUUUCUAUGUUACAGGAGCUUAUGCUUUAGUGAAAUUAUAGACAAAUUAUUAUACAGUUUUAAUCCAGAAUAGUAAGUGCUAUGGGAGCAUGCACAGAGGAAACAACCCAAUCUUAAGGAAUCAGGAAGGUUUGCAGAGGACUGACAGGAAAAGUGGGCAGGUGAAGAAGAUGGGCAGUGAGAGGAGGAGUGGAAGCACUUUUGCUAGGGAAAAACAUGAAUAAAAGGGAUAAUUUUCUGCUCUUACCCCUGGGUGAUCUUUGCGUGGUACUGUCCAUCACAGUUGGGAGAGACGGCUCCUCAGAGCUGCUCCACACUGUUCACAGAGGAUGCCAUUCCAAGGAAACUGGGGAAUAGGGAAAGUCUUUAGCUUAUUCCUCUUUGAGGUUUGUUUGAGAUGCAGUUUCUUCAAUAUUUUGAGUCUAUGAAAACA
ensembl:lncRNA novel transcript